AGAGUUUGAUCAUGGCUCAGGACGAACGCUGGCGGCGUGCCUAAUACAUGCAAGUAGAACGCUGAAGAGAGGAGCUUGCUCUUCUUGGAUGAGUUGCGAACGGGUGAGUAACGCGUAGGUAACCUGCCUUGUAGCGGGGGAUAACUAUUGGAAACGAUAGCUAAUACCGCAUAACAAUGGAUGACCCAUGUCAUUUAUUUGAAAGGGGCAAAUGCUCCACUACAAGAUGGACCUGCGUUGUAUUAGCUAGUAGGUGAGGUAACGGCUCACCUAGGCGACGAUACAUAGCCGACCUGAGAGGGUGAUCGGCCACACUGGGACUGAGACACGGCCCAGACUCCUACGGGAGGCAGCAGUAGGGAAUCUUCGGCAAUGGGGGCAACCCUGACCGAGCAACGCCGCGUGAGUGAAGAAGGUUUUCGGAUCAUAAAGCUCUGUUGUAAGUCAAGAACGAGUGUGAGAGUGGAAAGUUCACACUGUGACGGUAGCUUACCAGAAAGGGACGGCUAACUACGUGCCAGCAGCCGCGGUAAUACGUAGGUCCCGAGCGUUGUCCGGAUUUAUUGGGCGUAAAGCGAGCGCAGGCGGUUUGAUAAGUCUGAAGUUAAAGGCUGUGGCUCAACCAUAGUUCGCUUUGGAAACUGUCAAACUUGAGUGCAGAAGGGGAGAGUGGAAUUCCAUGUGUAGCGGUGAAAUGCGUAGAUAUAUGGAGGAACACCGGUGGCGAAAGCGGCUCUCUGGUCUGUAACUGACGCUGAGGCUCGAAAGCGUGGGGAGCGAACAGGAUUAGAUACCCUGGUAGUCCACGCCGUAAACGAUGAGUGCUAGGUGUUGGAUCCUUUCCGGGAUUCAGUGCCGCAGCUAACGCAUUAAGCACUCCGCCUGGGGAGUACGACCGCAAGGUUGAAACUCAAAGGAAUUGACGGGGGCCCGCACAAGCGGUGGAGCAUGUGGUUUAAUUCGAAGCAACGCGAAGAACCUUACCAGGUCUUGACAUCCCGAUGCUAUUUCUAGAGAUAGAAAGUUACUUCGGUACAUCGGUGACAGGUGGUGCAUGGUUGUCGUCAGCUCGUGUCGUGAGAUGUUGGGUUAAGUCCCGCAACGAGCGCAACCCCUAUUGUUAGUUGCCAUCAUUCAGUUGGGCACUCUAGCGAGACUGCCGGUAAUAAACCGGAGGAAGGUGGGGAUGACGUCAAAUCAUCAUGCCCCUUAUGACCUGGGCUACACACGUGCUACAAUGGUUGGUACAACGAGUUGCGAGUCGGUGACGGCAAGCUAAUCUCUUAAAGCCAAUCUCAGUUCGGAUUGUAGGCUGCAACUCGCCUACAUGAAGUCGGAAUCGCUAGUAAUCGCGGAUCAGCACGCCGCGGUGAAUACGUUCCCGGGCCUUGUACACACCGCCCGUCACACCACGAGAGUUUGUAACACCCGAAGUCGGUGAGGUAACCUUUUGGAGCCAGCCGCCUAAGGUGGGAUAGAUGAUUGGGGUGAAGUCGUAACAAGGUA
rnacentral:rRNA from 1 species